rnacentral:rRNA from 1 species
GACGAACGCUGGCGGCGUGCUUAACACAUGCAAGUCGAACGGAAAGGCCCUGCUUUUGUGGGGUGCUCGAGUGGCGAACGGGUGAGUAACACGUGAGUAACCUGCCCUUGACUUUGGGAUAACUUCAGGAAACUGGGGCUAAUACCGGAUAGGAGCUCCUGCUGCAUGGUGGGGGUUGGAAAGUUUCGGCGGUUGGGGAUGGACUCGCGGCUUAUCAGCUUGUUGGUGGGGUAGUGGCUUACCAAGGCUUUGACGGGUAGCCGGCCUGAGAGGGUGACCGGCGACAAUGGGACUGAGAUACGGCCCAGACUCCAACGGGAGGCAGCAGGGGGGAAUAUUGCACAAUGAGCGGAAGCCUGAGACAGCAACGCCGCGUGCGGGAUGACGGCCUUCGAGUAGUGAACCGCUUUCGCCUGUGACGAAGCGUGAGUGACGGUAAUGGGUAAAGAAGCACCGGCUAACUACGUG